CCUACGGGUGACAGCAGUAGGGAAUAUUGCUCAAUGGGGGAAACCCUGAAGCAGCAACGCCGCGUGGAGGAUGAAGGUUUUAUGAUUGUAAACCUCUUUUUUUAGAGAAGUUAAUGACGGUAUCUAACGAAUAGGCACCGUCUAACUCCGUGCCAGCAGCCGUGGGAAUACGGAGGGUGCAAGCGUUAUUCGGAAUCACUGGGCGUAAAGAGCGCGUAGGCGGGAUAGCAAGUCAGAUGUGAAAUCCUAUGGCUUAACCAUAGAACUGCAUUUGAGACUGUUAUUCUAGAGUUUGGGAGAGGUAGGUGGAAUUCUUGGUGUAGGGGUGAAAUCCGUAGAGAUCAAGAGGAAUACUCAUUGCGAAGGCGACCUGCUAGAACAUAACUGACGCUGAGGCGCGAAAGCGUGGGGAGCAAACAGGAUUAGAUACCCGGGUAGUC
rnacentral:rRNA from 1 species